UAUCACUGAGUAGUCGAGAAG
rnacentral:siRNA from 1 species